GGGUCCUCGGAGCCUCGAGGCCUUCCGUGUUUUAGACCGAGCAGCAUUACGAGAACAUUUCACAGCUAUUGAUUUUUUUUCUUCCAACGUUUUUCUUUUAUCACCUGAUGACCCUUCUUCCAGUUUGGUUUCUGCUUUUAAUUAAACAAUCAAAAAAAAAAAGAAGAAAAAAAAAAAAGAACAUUUUCACGAUAGCAACCAAAAAAAAAAUAAAUAAAAAAAUAAAAAAAGAGUGGAAAGUCUAGCCGUGAGCGCGGAAAGAAAGGAAAGAAAGGAAAAACUCGUUCAGGUUCAGUUUGCUCUCCUCUACCGGGAAGGUCGGGCGAAAUAUCUUGCGAGAUACGGGGAAGGGGAGCACGGAGCGUACCGCAGGGACCCUAUUCAUUUCUCAUCGACGGCGGCAGAUGCAGCACACCAAGGUUACUUUGCAUUCGCUGCAUAGCGGGGUCACCUUAUGAGGUCCUCCUCCCCCACACACACGGCCCCGGCGAGGACAGAACAGCCAUCAUUGGUCCCCCGCGGACAGGAAAAGCACUCGGAUACGCAUCGCAGGGCCCUGACAAUGGUCUAUCCUUCUUUACAUGGGGAAAAAAUGCAUAUCAAAUAUAAGGAGAUAUAUAUAUAAUUUUUUUUUUUUAUAUAAAGUCACCCAAUUCCAGAAGACGGAGAGCUGUAGCCUUGCUAGCAUGACCUGAUGAAAGGGGAGGAGGAAGUCUCCCUGAUAAGGAAGAUACAUUGGUGCAAGAGGCCAGAAUAUAUGGGACUGGAUGGAGGGAGGGGUGAGAGUGGAGAGAGAGAGAGAGAGAGAGAGAGAGAGAGAGAGAGAGAGAGAGAGAGAGAGAGAGAGAGAAGGAAGACGUCGGUCUCUUUCUCAACAUGUACAAAAGGUACAAUCAGGUCAAUUCGAUUCAAAGCCGAUGCGACAAGCUAAUUUUCCAGCCCGGUCAUCUGCGGCCGCCUCCGACGAGAGCCUGACAUUGACGGCAGUCAUUACGGUGACACCGGCUCGCAACCUGAGGAGCCGAGAGGAAAGGAGGAGAGGAGGAGGAGGAGAGUAGUAGUGUGGACAGGACACUCGGCAAUAGGCCAGAGAGAGAGAGAGAGAGAGAGACUGUCCAACCUCAGAAAGGGGGGGGGUAAAUAUAUAAAUAAAUAAAUAAUCCCAGAUCUCCAACCAAGCAAGAAACAAGUCUUCCUCUGAAACUCCUCGACUUUAAGCAAAGGGUACGGGGCGUGACAAAAAUAAUCACGUCACGGUACCUCGAAGCGUUUCUAUGAUACGCAUCAUGAUCUCUAUUUUAAAGUUUCAAAGCAGUAUAAAUACUGAAUUUAUAAGAAAUACAUAUUCAUAACCAAAAAAAAUCCUCAUUUAAAUACCCGCAAAGUGUACUGUGAUGAUGUCUUUUAUAAAAAUGAAAAGAUUACGCAACAACCGACAGCUCUUAGGAGAUUUUAGGUUCUUCUCACCUGAGCUACAGUUCAUUCCAGACAUCUUCAGACCGUCGUUAACCCUCUACUGCCACCUAAUGCACAGAUAUCCACCCAUCCAUCCACCCGUCAUUUGGGAGGCUCUACUGUACUCACAUUUACACUACCAGUCAAAAGUUUAGACACUCGUUCUUUCUUUUAUUCUUUUUUCUCUCUGGACAUUUUAGGAUAAUAAGAAAGUCAUCAAAACGCUGGAGUGACACAAAUGGAACUAGGGGGAUUAUAUUGUGAUGACAAAUCCAAAAUAAUUCAAUAAUUUACCAUCUUCAAAGCGGACGCCGCUCUCGCCGAGAAUUCCCAGAAAUGUAUUCCCGUCGUUUUCUCACCCGAUUUCUUGAGGAAUAUUUCGCUCAGACUCGUCGUUUUUUUUUUUUUUUUUAAAUGAUCAUUUUGUAAAUAAAACGCGAGUUCUCUCAUGAAAGAAACGAACACGUCGGCACGAUCAUAGUUUUGUCUACGACACCGAUUUCACACGUUUCAAUCGCACACCUUCAGAUCGAAAGAUUUUUAACAGCACGAGAAACAUUUCCGUCGCGUGUCCGCAAACUUUCGACCGGCAGUGUACAUACACCGCCCAAUAAAUAAAUAAAUAAAUAAAUAAAUAAAAAAUUCCUAAUGAACUGAUGAGUAACAUAAGCAAAGAGUUACACACACACACACACACACACACACACACACACACAUAUAUAUAUAUAUAUAUCCUCUUAAUUAAGUCCCUGUUAUAUCACUGUAUCCAAAAUGGCACAGAUUUAUCAGAUUAAGGCUGUGAAGACAAUAAAACUCGGUCUAAUUACUCGACAGCCCUCUCCACACGUUCAGCCAAAGACUAGAAAGCGUUUAAUAAAGCCAAAACGUCAAUCGACUCGGCGACACCCUGACAAACACAUUAACUCCCUCCCCCCCCAUGAAUAUUUGAUGCCUUAUCUUGACAAUAAUGUGAAAUAUUACCUUUUUUCUAAUUGACAGUCAUCUAAUGAAAAAAAAAAAAACGGAAAAAAAAAAAAAAAAAAAAAAAAAAAACACCAGCGAGAUGUUUGGAGCAAAAUUCAGAGGAACAGAACUGGAUUAUUGCUUCUUUAAUAGCCGAGAAGAGGAACGUAAACAGACGUAAUAUUUAUUGCUCCGAGCGUAGACGUGCUUUAAUUAACCGCCAAGUCACUUAAAAAGAAAUAAAUAAAUAAAGUCACAUUGAUCGUCACAAAUUGCAAUCUGGAAUAAUAACACGCGAUCAAUUAAUUUCACUAAGGGACGACGUGGGAUUCGUUAAUUCAGCAGCGGUCGAGAGAGACGCGUCGUUUUAUUAUCUGUAAUCAUUUCAGGACUUUUACGUAAUCGUAUCAUAAACGCCGAGUCGUCUCGGAAGAGAAAGAUGACGGGAAGGAAAUCCCGUGCAUUACCGUCACGGCAGGGAAAGAUUUAACGUGCGAUUUAACGCAAGAGUAAGCGUUUACACCCGUUCCCCACGGCUCUUGACGUAUCGUGUCGGCUUCUUGAGCGUCGGCGAAUGUUUGGACCUUUUGUAGAAGUCGUGUACGGGUUUCUCCUCAGUGCGAAAAGACGGAUCUUAACAUCGUAUAAAACGGUGCGGGGAGAAAGGGAGUCAAAUGUGUAGAAGGUGCCGGGAGAAAGGAGUCAAAUGUGUAGAAGGUGCCGGGAGAAAGGAGUCAAAUGUGUAGAAGGUGCCGGGAGAAAGGAGUCAAAUGUGUAGAAGGUGCCGGGAGAAAGGAGUCAAAUGUGUAGAAGGUGCCGGGAGAAAGGAGUCAAAUGUGUAGAAGGUGCCGGGAGAAAGGAGUCAAAUGUGUAGAAGGUGCCGGGAGAAAGGAGUCAAAUGUGUAGAAGGUGCCGGGAGAAAGGAGUCAAAUGUGUAGAAGGUGCCGGGAGAAAGGAGUCAAAUGUGUAGAAGGUGCCGGGAGAAAGGAGUCAAAUGUAUAGAAGGUGCCGGAAGAAAGGAGUCAAAUGUAUAGAAGGUGCUGGGAGAAAGGGACAAAACUGCUCAGGACAAAACAAGGGACUCAUGGAACUGAACUAGAACAAAAACAAAAACAGGAUCAUCCAAGUAACAACACGCAGUAUUAAGAAUCAGUAAGCGUGAGUAAAAACAAAACCGUUCUUAAAACGAGUCAUUAGUGUGUAUUUGGAUAUGAACUGCUGUUUAAAAAUGUAAAAAAAAAAAAAAAAAAAAAAAAAAAAAAAAAAAAAACCCUAGUGCGAUGGAUGACUGCACUAGGAACAGAUUAAGGUACACGUUUAUAUGGGGUUAAAUAUCGCCCCCUGCUGGACUCAGGGUUCUACUGCAAAUCAUGAGUUCGUUAGAGAUGCUGGAAUUGGGUCCAAGACGACAUUAUCGAGCUCCUUCAUCCAUCUGCAGAAGUGCUGCCAAGAGCUAGAUGCCUUUACAAGCCAGAUUUCAAGAACCGAUCACUCUGAGCUGAACCUGAAUAAGGGCGUGUUUCCAGAGUUCAGGAAGUUUUGGCAUCAUUUCACGACUUCAUUCACACAAACACCGGAUUCCGAAAAUCGAUCAAAGCUCAUUUCUCAACCCGAUUAUUUUUUUUUUUCUUAACUUUGUCAAUAACCUCGUCAUGAUUUUCAAUGAAUUUAAAAACAAUUCGUCAUUCAGCGAUUUUGUCUGCAACUGUCAUUCCUGUUCUAGAAAAUUUCCUUCAGACGAAAAAUCCGUGACGUGUGGAAAAGCGAGACAGACUCACGUGGAUGACUUUGUAGAAGUAGGCGUACUGGCGCGCCGUGUUCUUGUACUGGCUCAGCACGUCCUGAAUGGCCUGAGUGGCCAGCAGGUGGCGCACUUCCUCCUCCUCGAAGUAUAAAGGCGUGUCGUAGUGAGCGGGCAGGGUUUUGAUGUAGGGCAGCCAGGGGGACUCCGGGUUCGCCCUCUCACACAGCAGGUGCAGGGCCAGAGUCACGUUGCCCAUGGCCUGCAGGAUCCGGUCCUGACCGUACAGAGGACCUGAAGGGAUACAGGACACGUUAGCACAGGUUAAUGAAAUUAACGCCAAUUUAUCGUGUAGCUCGUUUCUAUAGCAACAAACGCCACCGUCACGAAAAACACGUUAUUAACAAAGAGAAACCCUAUAAUGUUAGGAGACGUUUGCGUAUUUAUGGAAGGAGUCUCCGGUGUUAGCACGUUGUAUCAGGUAUCAUGGCUGUUCAACACACCCCCCCCCAAACAUGAUCGAUAACGAUUAGGUUUUGUUGCUAGCGCCUAAAAACAAAAACUUCUCAAAAACAGCUCCGCCCCCCCCGAUAAUUUUUCAUUAUUAAUAAGAAAUCCAGCGUGGAGGUAGCGGAGAGCUCAGUGCGCAUGCGGGACUCGGAAUUCCAGCUACGGUCCGGACGCCCCUGACGCGAGGACUCACCCAGGACGGAGUUUUUAGCCGAUUCCACGGUCAUCAGCAUCUUCCUGGGAAUCCACAGAAACAGCUCUUCGGCCUGAAGGAGGAAAAGAGCGAACAUCAGUUUUUAACUGAAAUAUCCGAUCUGUUCAAAUUAGAAGAAUCUUAAUUGUCAUUUAAUAAACAGUAAGUGAAAGAGUGUCUUUGUGCCUCUGUCUCCGUCACACACACACCUUGAUGUCUCUGGUGGCUCUGAGCCCGUAUCCUUCAUCUCCAAAGCUGGCGAUCUCAAAGCCCUCGCAGGACGCGCCACAUUCUGCUGCCCAGGCCAUGAGCUCGGGAAAAUAAUCCUCCCUACUGCCCUCGAACCCCACGGACACUCCUGCAGGAGAGGAACGAGACAAAGCCAUCAGUCUCCACGCCGACGCGCUAUAGUGAGGAAUACACCAGUUCUCUGUUGAGAAAAACAAAAACGAAGCCACCACACCUUUCUGUUUCUUGCGGAUUUUCUCCACCAGGGUGCGGAUCUGGACGUACUCAUCCCACUCCUUUCCUGGAGACGGAGCUGCACCGCUGCAUUCUGGGAAACGCAAAGAGACAGACAUGAAAGUAAAUCGUAAAAAUGAAUCUGGGAAUUAACCGAGACGCGUUACUCACUCUGUAGGAGCUCGGAGAUCAGGUUCAUCAUCUCUUUGGGGGACACCAUGGCUGUCCCGCCCGUCCCGGAUUUCUGAGUCUUCACUCGACUCUUCUUGCCCAUCUUCUGGCUCGGUUACGAGGGAAGAUCCUUGACCGAGAAACACAGCGAGACAAAAACGUGUCAAAGUGUAACGUCACUCUGUCCACUAGAGGGCGCAUGUCCACUGCUGUGCUGAAAUACACGCCAAGGUCCGUGUCGUCCUGUCACGAAGGCCUUCAGAUUCCUACUCGAAAUCAAAAUGGCUGCUCAGCGCAUCAGCAGUGAACAAAGCAGCAUUUCUUAGCUGUAAACGAGCUGUGAUGUGUAUACUAGUACACGCAAAAGAGAUGUUAAAGGAGCGGUUUGUCAUGCUCAGAGACCCCUGCUGGCUGUAAGCGUAAUUACAAUUCAAAUACUGACAAGAUUUUACACAGAUCCUGCCAACUGCCUUUUAAGGGAAAAGGGGAGGAGCUAACUUCCUAUUAAAACACUGUCAAUAAAGCAACUCCGUGACUGGAGAAUGAACAACGCUUCCAUGUAAAAAGAGCCGUUCCGUUUUCCCUUUUAUCUCAUUUUAUUAAGAUGAUUUCUUCAUAUAGAGAGUUAUAGUACAUGAUCACUGGAUAUGGACACCUCACGAAAUGACUGUUUCUGUAACAAAACAAAACAGGAUGGGAAAGAAAGAAAAGAAAGAAAGAAAGGCGGAACAGGAGAGAACAAGAGAAAGAAUGCGAGGAUAUGGAGGAAAAAAAAGAAAACGAAAAUCAAGAAAUAAUACAGAAAAAAAGAAAGAAACGAGAGGGCAAGAGAAAGAAAGUGAGGAUAUGGGGGGG